rnacentral:rRNA from 1 species
UACGGGAGGCAGCGGUGGGGAAUAUUGCACAAUGGGCGCAAGCCUGAUGCAGCCAUGCCGCGUGUAUGAAGAAGGCCUUCGGGUUGUAAAGUACUUUCAGUCGUGAGGAAGGUGUUAAGGUUAAUAACCUUAGCAAUUGACGUUAGCGACAGAAGAAGCACCGGCUAACUCCGUGCCAGCAGCCGCGGUAAUACGGAGGGUGCGAGCGUUAAUCGGAAUUACUGGGCGUAAAGGGCACGCAGGCGGUUAAUUAAGUUGGAUGUGAAAUCCCCGGGCUUAACCUGGGAAUGGCAUUCAAGACUGGUUAGCUAGAGUCUUGUAGAGGGGGUUAGAAUUCCAUGUGUAGCGGUGAAAUGCGUAGAGAUGUGGAGGAAUACCGGUGGCGAAGGCGGCCCCUGGACAAAGACUGACGCUCAUGUGCGAAAGCGUGGGGAGCAAACAGGGAUUAGAUAC